rnacentral:rRNA from 1 species
ACUCCUACGGGAGGCAGCAGUAAGGAAUAUUGGACAAUGGGCGAAAGCCUGAUCCAGCCAUGCCGCGUGCAGGAAGACGGCCCUAUGGGUUGUAAACUGCUUUAAUAUGGGAGGAAACCCCCUACGUGUAGGGGGCUGACAGUACCAUAAGAAUAAGCAUCGGCUAACUCCGUGCCAGCAGCCGCGGUAAUACGGAGGAUGCAAGCGUUAUCCGGAUUUAUUGGGUUUAAAGGGUCCGCAGGCGGAUCAAUAAGUCAGUGGUGAAAGCCCGCAGCUCAACUGCGGAACUGCCAUUGAUACUGUUGGUCUUGAGUGUGGUUGAAGUGGGCGGAAUGUGUCGUGUAGCGGUGAAAUGCUUAGAUAUGACACAGAACACCGAUUGCGAAGGCAGCUCACUAAGCCAUUACUGACGCUCAUGGACGAAAGCGUGGGGAGCGAACAGGAUUAGAUACCCUGGUAGCACAGAG